rnacentral:rRNA from 1 species
AAUAUUGGGCAAUGCAGGCAACUAUGACCCAGCCAUGCCGAGGCCAGGAAGAGUGCCCUAUGGGGAGUAAAGAAAUUUUACACAGGAGUAAACUUAUCCAUCAAGGGAGAAGUGACGGUACUAUAAGAAUAAGGACCGUCGAAUUCCUUCCCAGCAGCCGCGGUAAUAAGGAGGGUGCAAGCGUUAUUCGGAAUCACGGGGGGAAUAAAGUCGUUUGAGGGGCAAUUAAGUCAGAGGUGAAAUCCCACGACUCAACUGUUCAAAAACCUUUGAUAAAGGUUGUGACUUGUUAUAGUAGGGAGAUAGAAUAUUUCGUGGGGCGGUGAAAUGCAUUGAUAUUAGAUAGAAUCCCGAUUGGGAAGGCCGUUUACUUACUGUACAUUGACGCUAAUGAAAGAAAGCGUGGGGAGCGAACAGGAUUAGAUACCCUGGUAGUCCACGCCGUA